rnacentral:lncRNA from 1 species
UGCCCCUCGUGCGCCGUGUAAAUGGCAUUUAAUUGGUGCUUUGCAUUUUGACAGCUAGUUUGGGCUGUGCAUGCCUUAACAUUUCCAGACAGCAGAUUGCUGGGUAGUUGUGUGUGUUUAAGAUGCUGUUUGCUGGUGACAUCAGUACAAGGAUUUCACAUCAGGCUGACUUCUCUUCAUUGUUGCUGGCGAGAGGCUCUUGACACAUAAUUUUAUUGCCAUUAUAUUUGAUAUGACAGACAUUAUAAAAUAGAACUGCAUUUCAUUUUAUAUCAAAGCAGAGAUUUAUUUAAUAUAAUCAUGAAGUUUCAGCCAAUGCCUGUUGUUAUGACAACAUGCAGUAACUUUGUGGUUAGCAUAGGAAUUAUCUCAGGAACAUUCUGAGUUUCAUGUCAAAUAGUUUGUGAUGUUUUCCUUGUAACAAACAGGAGAUGCUGGGGGUGAAAUCACAGCCNAGUUCUUUUACAGAGACUCGAGAAAUAUAAAUAUUGGAGGAUAUUAAUGAAAAUGACAUCUAUAUCUGAUGUAUUAGUGCCCAAAAAUGUGACGAAGUGCUCUGUUAAUUAACAUUUUUUUUGUUAUGAUACUUGUAAAAGUACAGUCAUUUUUCAGAGCUGACUGAGCUGCCCAGAAAAGGGCAGUGGUGUGACCUGGGUUAGCUGUUGUCCCAUCAGUGAUUUGAUUAUUCAAAACAGCAACAGACAGUGCACCCCACAUCCGUCACAAUGCAGAAAACAAAGGGUUGAAGCUAGUUAGUGUAUUACUGCAGUGACUCUGAGCACUCCUCUUACCGCUGUCCUCCCACCAAGCAACUGGUGGUAUUAUUGCAUCAGGAAAGACCAGUACACUGGGAGAAGUAUGUUCUAGAACAGCUGUUCGGUCCCUCACUUACUUGCCUGCUGGACGUUGUGAACAAAAACUCUUUACACUUUAAAAUGGCUUUGAAAAUACUCGUGUUAUGGAAGACUCUGAACUGAAAACAGAUGUUUCAUCUUUCAUUUACCCAGUACCAGAAUUAGAGAGCAUUGGAUUCCUUUGAUCUCAUGGCAGAACUGUUAACUGGUGAAUUAGAAAGGACAGGAAAAAGGUGUGCAACUAAUUAGAGCAGGAUCGCUGUGCUGUCUGCAACGACCUGCUUGUGUUGAGCAACUUGUAGGGGAACACAAAGCAUAAUGUGAUUAACGUGUUAACUGCUGUAGUGGAAAUGCUGAGUCACAGCCUGAANUGGAAGUCUAUGCAAUCUACCUGUGUUGCAUCAGGGGUGGAAGCACAGUGAGACAAUGGUUUUCAUUUUAAUUUCGUGUAUUGUCUGCUAGGAUUUUGCAUUGGUGUUAUUACUUUCAUUAAGCCACUGGAUUUCAUGGUAUUCAGAACAUCAUUCAGUGCAAUUGGGACACAGAGAAAGCUCUGAAUUCUUCCUUUCCCCUGGCAUUGAGUUUUAGAGUUUGUAGGGAGUCUUCUAAU